rnacentral:rRNA from 1 species
UACGAAGGUGGCAAGGCGUUGUUCGGAUUUACGUGGCGUAAAGGGCGCGUAGGCGGCAAUUCAAGUCAUCUGUGAAAUCUCCGGGACUUAACCCGGAACGGUCAGAUGAUACUGCUUUGCUAGAGUGCGGAAGGGGCAAUCGGAAUUCUCGGUGUAGCGGUGAAAUGCGCAGAUAUCGGGAGGAACACCGGUGGCGAAGGCGGUUCUCUGGGCCUUACCUGACGCUGAGGAGCGAAAGCGUGGGGAGCGAACAGG